AGAGUUUGAUCCUGGCUCAGAUUGAACGCUGGCGGCAUGCUUUACACAUGCAAGUCGAGCGGCAGCGCGGGGGCAACCCUGGCGGACGAGCGGCGGACGGGUGAGUAAUGCAUCGGAACGUAUCCCGUAGUGGGGGACAACCCAGCGAAAGCUGGGCUAAUACCGCAUAUGCUCUACGGAGGAAAGCAGGGGACUCGCAAGAGCCUUGUGCUAUGGGAGCGGCCGAUGUCCGAUUAGCUAGUUGGUGGGGUAAAGGCUUACCAAGGCGACGAUCGGUAGCUGGUCUGAGAGGAUGAUCAGCCACACUGGGACUGAGACACGGCCCAGACUCCUACGGGAGGCAGCAGUGGGGAAUUUUGGACAAUGGGGGCAACCCUGAUCCAGCCAUGCCGCGUGCGGGAAGAAGGCCUUCGGGUUGUAAACCGCUUUUGGUCGGGAAGAAAAGGUUCUCCCUAAUACGGAGGACUGUUGACGGUACCGGCAGAAUAAGCACCGGCUAACUACGUG
rnacentral:rRNA from 1 species